rnacentral:siRNA from 1 species
UCGCGGGUGACAUGACCUUA